UACGUAGGGGGCAAGCGUUGUCCGGAUUUAUUGGGCGUAAAGAGCGUGUAGGCGGCCAUGCAGGUCAGCUGUGAAAACUCGAGGCUCAACCUCGAGACGUCGGUUGAAACCGCAUGGCUAGAGUCCGGAAGAGGAGAGUGGAAUUCCUGGUGUAGCGGUGAAAUGCGCAGAUAUCAGGAAGAACACCCGUGGCGAAGGCGGCUCUCUGGGACGGUACUGACGCUGAGACGCGAAAGCGUGGGGAGCGAACAGG
rnacentral:rRNA from 1 species